UUAGAGUUUGAUCCUGGCUCAGGAUGAACGCUAGCGGCAGGCUUAACACAUGCAAGUCGAGGGGCAGCGCGAGUGGCAACACUUGGCGGCGACCGGCGCAAGGGUGCGUAACGCGUGAGCAACAUGCCCUCUUCACGGGGAUAACCCGGAGAAAUCCGGCCUAAAACCCGAUGGUGAUUUGGACAGGCAUCUGUUCUAAUCUAAAACUUCGGUGGAAGAGGAUUGGCUCGCGUGACAUUAGGUGGUUGGUGGGGUAACGGCCCACCAAGCCUACGAUGUCUAGGGGAACUGAGAGGUUGGUCCCCCACACUGGAACUGAGACACGGACCAAACUCCUACGGGAGGCAGCAGUGAGGAAUAUUGGUCAAUGGGCGGAAGCCUGAACCAGCCAAGUCGCGUGAAGGAUGAAGGUAUUAUGUAUUGUAAACUUCUUUAGACGCAGAGAAAUAAGCCGCUCGUGAGCGGUGAUGCUAGUAUGCGUAGAAUAAGGAUCGGCUAACUCCGUGCCAGCAGCCGCGGUAAUACGGAGGAUCCGAGCGUUAUCCGGAUUUAUUGGGUUUAAAAGGGUGCGCAGGCGGUCUCUUAAGUCAGUGGUCAAAAUUGCGGAGCUCAACUCCGUCCCGCCAUUGAUACUGGGAGACUUGAUUUCGGUCGAGGUAGGCGGAAUUCGUCGUGUAGCGGUGAAAUGCAUAGAUAUGACGAAGAACACCGAUUGCGUAGGCAGCUUACCAGCCCGACAAUGACGCUCAUGCACGAAAGUGCGGGGAUCGAACAGGAUUAGAUACCCUGGUAGUCCGCACAGUAAACGAUGAAUACUUGCUCUCGGCGAUAUACGGUCGGGGGCAAAGCGAAAGCGAUAAGUAUUCCACCUGGGGAGUACGCCGGCAACGGUGAAACUCAAAGGAAUUGACGGGGGCCCGCACAAGCAGCGGAGCAUGUUGUUUAAUUCGAAGCAACGCGAAGAACCUUACCAGGUCUUGACAUCGAGGAAAAGCUACAGAGAUGUAGUGUGAGCUUGCUCAUCCGAAGACAGGUGGUGCAUGGUUGUCGUCAGCUCGUGUCGUGAGAUGUUGGGUUAAGUCCCGCAACGAGCGCAACCCUUAUGGUCAGUUACUAACGCGUGAUGGCGAGGACUCUGACAAGACUGCCGGGGACAACUCGGAGGAAGGUGGGGACGACGUCAAAUCAUCAUGCCCCUUAUGACCUGGGCUACAAACGUGCUACAAUGGUGGUUACAAAGAGCAGCGAGCCUGUGAAGGUAAGCGAAUCUCAAAAAAGCCAUCUCAGUUCGGACUGUGGGCUGCAACCCGCCCACACGAAGUUGGAGUUGCUAGUAAUCGCGGAUCAGAAUGCCGCGGUGAAUACGUUCCCGGGCCUUGUACACACCGCCCGUCAAG
rnacentral:rRNA from 1 species